rnacentral:rRNA from 1 species
UACGGAGGGUGCAAGCGUUAAUCGGAAUUACUGGGCGUAAAGCGCGCGUAGGUGGUUUGGUAAGCGAGAUGUGAAAGCCCCGGGCUUAACCUGGGAACGGCAUUUCGAACUGUCAGACUAGAGUGUGGUAGAGGGUAGUGGAAUUUCCUGUGUAGCGGUGAAAUGCGUAGAUAUCGGGAGGAACACCAGCGGCGAAGGCGGUUCUCUGGUUGACUUCUGACGCUGAGACGCGAAAGCGUGGGGAGCAAACAGG